GCUUACGGCCAUACCAGCCUGAAUACGCCCGAUCUCGUCCGAUCUCGGAAGCCAAGCAGGGUCAGGCCUGGUUAGUACUUGGAUGGGUGACCGCCUGGGAAUACCAGGUGCUGUAAGCUU
rnacentral:rRNA from 1 species